AAUUAAUAGUAAAUCCAUAUAUAUAAGUUCUGAUGGUCCUUUACUUCAUCUCUGACAAUAUCACUUACCUGCAAUCUCUCCCUCACGCACAUGGCUACUGCUGCUGUAGCCAGAAAUUUCCUUGCACGUUUCAUGGAUUUAGACUCCGCCAAAUGCAGCAUUUCUGCUCAACUAAUUUCCAGUAGGCAGUCACUUCAUACUUUCCAUCGUAAAUAUCAGUAUUGUUCUCUAUCCAUGAAUGGGUGCCAGGGUGACCCAAAACUCCCUAUUGGUACAAUGGAAACGAAAACAUUUCCAGCAGUAGCAUCUCCUGGUUUGGCCUUAGACAGCCUCAAUUUCGCCAUUUCUGAUUUGAAAUCCAAUCCACCACUUUUCACUUCAGGGAUUAUACGUCUUCAGGUACCAAUUCAACAGCGAAUUGAAGCAAUUGAUUGGCUCCAUGCUCAACAUCAUCUUCUUCCACGCUGCUUCUUCUCUGGUAGAAGCCGAAGGAAAGAUGAAUUUCAUCUUUGCAAUGGAAAUGGCCAUGGCGGCCAUGCCCACAAUUUGGUUAGCGUUGCAGGUGUAGGCUCUGCGGUCCUCUUUAGGCAUAUCCAUCCAUUCUCCUACAAUGACUGGAAGUCGAUUAAGAGGUUUUUAUCCGCUAAAUGUCCUUUAAUUCGUGCUUAUGGAGCAAUCCGGUUCGAUGCCAGGGCUAACAUAUCAUCUGAGUGGGAGGCUUUUGGUUCAUUUUACUUCAUUGUUCCUCAUGUUGAGUUUGAUGAGUUUGAAGGAAGUUCGAUGCUUGCUGCUACUAUUGCCUGGGAUAAUGCCCUCUCUUGGACAUGGGGGCAGGCCAUUGAUGCACUUCGACUUACCAUGACUCAGGUUUCUUCUGUUAUUGUAAAAUUGCAAAAAGAAGUCGCUGGGACAUUUAUAUUAAGUAAUAAUCACAUUCCCAAUAAGACCUACUGGGAUCGUGCAGUGAAGAGAGCUUUGCAGAUAAUCAGUAGAAGCAGCUCACCACUCAUUAAGGUUGUACUUGCACGUAGCAGCAAAGUUGUAACUGCUACUGACAUUGAUCCUAUAACAUGGUUGGCUUGUCUACAGGUUGAAGGAGAAAAUGCUUAUCAAUUUUGUCUUCAGCCACCUAAUUCUCCAGCCUUUAUUGGGAACACGCCAGAGCAACUAUUUCACAGAAAACGGCUAGAAGUAAGUAGUGAGGCAUUGGCAGGAACCCGUGCUAGAGGCGAAUCAAAGGCUCUAGAUCUCCAGAUAGAACUCGAUUUACUUUCCAGCCGUAAGGACCAUCUUGAGUUCACCAUAGUACGAGACAGCGUAAGAAGAAAAUUAGAGGCUGUAUGUAACAAAGUGUUAGUUCAACCAAAUAUAGUAAUACGGAAAUUCCCCAGAGUUCAACAUUUGUAUGCCCAGUUGGCAGGAAAAUUAAGAAGUGAAGAUGAUGAGUUUGAUAUCCUUUCUUCUCUUCACCCAACUCCAGCAGUUUGUGGAUUUCCAACGGAAGAGGCAAGAGUAUUAAUUGCAGAAACUGGUUUGUACAUAAGUUUUUGAUCGAGGGAUGUAUGCUGGGCCUGUUGGUUGGUUUGGAGGAGGAGAGAGUGAGUUUGCUGUUGGCAUCAGAUCAGCAUUGGUAGAAAAGGGUCUUGGUGCAAUGAUCUAUGCUGGGACUGGAAUAGUAGAAGGAAGCAAUCCAUCUUUAGAAUGGGAUGAACUAGAACUGAAGACAUCUCAGUUCACCAAGUUGCUUAAACUUGAGGUCCCAUCAAAGCAAAAAAUUGAAGAUUUGGGGAGAAUCAACUGAAAAGAUUAGUUUUCUUGACAAGGAUUAAUAGUUUGUAUUAUCAGUAGAAGAAUGUCCAUUAAUUGUUGGCUUCUACUGGUAAACAUUACACUGAUGAUUUGGUGGAAUUGCUCUUCAUAGUUUGUUUCCACAAGACUUGUUUGGAGAGCGUGCAUUUGCAAGCAAAUUCUGAAGUGGGUAUAAAUUUCACAAUCACAAUUUUGGAGCCCAUAUUUCUGCAUAACCAGUUUUCAGUGCAAACUGGCAAUCACUCUCAAACAGGUUACUGGAUUUUGGAAGUGAAUGGAGCACAACAGAAACAACUGAUAGCAGAAAAAAUAUGCCAUAUCAAAAGCAACAUUCUUUUUCCACAGAAUAAGGUAUUGGCUGCAAAUUGAUAAUGCUUUGUUCUGUCAUUAUAAAUAUAUAUUCACACCUGCUCAGUCUCAUUCAACAUUUUUUUUUUUUUAAUCUUAUUGGUUGACAGUACAGCAAUAUAUAAUUGUUUCUUUCUACAAUUUAGUAAGUGCUUUUCCGAUUUUUCUGCGCAGUGCAGACUUCAUCA